AAGCAUCAAGAUCAUUUUCUAGAUGACAUUAAAGAUGAACUCUUCUCCAGGCCUCAUGACUGUGAUACUCCUCAUACUCGGAAGGACCCAUGGAGACUCUGUGACUCAAACAGGAGGCCAAGUGACCAUCUCAGAAGGCGGGUUCCUGACAAUAAAUUGCACGUAUUCAAUCACAACCAUAGCAUCCCCUGCUCUUUUCUGGUAUGUUCGAUAUCCUGGAGAAACACUACAGCUCCUCCUGAAAGCCAUUACGGCUGGCGAAAAGGGAAGCAGUCGAGGGUUUGAAGCUACACACGAUAAAGGAUCCACCUCCUUCCACUUGCAGAAAGCCUCGGUCCAAGAGUCAGACUCGGCUGUGUACUACUGUGCUCUGGGUGACACAGUGGUGGAAACUGCAGGGGGAGCUGAACACAAACUGAGAGGCAACAGGUGGUCUAACUGCUGA